rnacentral:rRNA from 1 species
ACGGGUGAGUAAUGUCUGGGAAACUGCCCGAUGGAGGGGGAUAACUACUGGAAACGGUAGCUAAUACCGCAUAACGUCGCGAGACCAAAGUGGGGGACCUUCGGGCCUCACACCAUCGGAUGUGCCCAGAUGGGAUUAGCUAGUAGGUGGGGUAACGGCUCACCUAGGCGACGAUCCCUAGCUGGUCUGAGAGGAUGACCAGCCACACUGGAACUGAGACACGGUCCAGACUCCUACGGGAGGCAGCAGUGGGGAAUAUUGCACAAUGGGCGCAAGCCUGAUGCAGCCAUGCCGCGUGUAUGAAGAAGGCCUUCGGGUUGUAAAGUACUUUCAGCGGGGAGGAAGGCGAUGUGGUUAAUAACCGCGUCGAUUGACGUUACCCGCAGAAGAAGCACCGGCUAACUCCGUGCCAGCAGCCGCGGUAAUACGGAGGGUGCAAGCGUUAAUCGGAAUUACUGGGCGUAAAGCGCACGCAGGCGGUCUGUCAAGUCGGAUGUGAAAUCCCCGGGCUUAACCUGGGAACUGCAUUCGAAACUGGCAGGCUAGAGUCUUGUAGAGGGGGGUAGAAUUCCAGGUGUA